rnacentral:tRNA from 1 species
UGGCUUAAGACGGUAAAGCGUCUGCCUGCAAUGCAGGAGACCUGGGUUCGAUCCCAG